AAAACGAAAUUCUUUCCUCUUCCCACUCUGCCUCCUCCGCCGUGAAUCUCAUUCCUUCCGCUCCAACCGCCACCAAUUCCCAUUCUCAUUCUCUAAUAGUCACCAAGUCACCAAUGAAGCGCUCAAUGUUAUGAUUUCUAGGGCUCCGACUUCUGGAAAAUUUUCUCGUUCUGCCUUCUCAUUUGGCCUUCUCGUUGGUGUGGUUCGGUGCAUUGAGGUCACAAAGUUCGUUGUUGUGGUUGCUUAAGGUGACGCGUUCAACAGUCCCUUCAUUUGGUAAGUAAUCCUUCUCUUCCUUCAUUCCUUAGUAAUCCCUAAAAUCGUAAACCACAGGAACCCUAAAAUCGAAUUUUACGACACGGUCGGGUUGACGCGGAAUCGUUACCGACUUGGUGCUGGCAGGAACCACAACAUCCUCAACACUAAACUCGAUUUAUCUGAAAUUCAUACCUAGGAUUCUUGUCUCUGGCAAAUGAUUUUCUGUUUAUGAGCUAAAGCCUGUGUCACUAAAUAAUAAUAAAAGUUAAUGCUUCUAUAUGGAAGAACCUAAACUCCUACAGUGAAAGAUUGGAGCCAUGGAGAAGCCAAACUCUGUAGGCCUAGCUGCUCCUCCUCAACCCAAUACCUAGGCUCGGGCUGUUUUGUCCAACUGUACUGCACAUUUGGCAAGUUUCUUCGGUUUCCUUCUAGCCAAAAAUCUAAGGGCUGUUGAUGGUGAUUGCAAAGAAGGAUGUAGAAAAUGUCGUAGAGAAGGGAGGAAGAUUUUACAGAGUUAUUGAGAAGAACAGGUACUUGAAGUUUUGCUUUAGUACAAGAGCUCAUUGUCAUUGGUGAAAAACAGGUUGAACUUUUUCUGUUGUGUUUUCCUAUCAUAACAUUUUAAAUUCAGGUAUUGCUUAGCUUUAAAAGAAUUUUGAGGUUAAAAGAUUACUUUCAUUUAUUUCAUUCUUAAUUGAUGUAAACCACAAGGAGAAUGAAUUACUUUCAUUCUUGCAGAAACAAUUUUCUGUAUUGAAAACAAUUGUGUCAAUAACAAACAUGAGUAAAUCCACUACACUAAAAGGCUAAGAGUGAUACCUGCAAGUAGGCCUCUAAAGAGAUCAUCAACACCAGAUAGGUACACUGCAAUAAGGAGAAUCUGAAAUCUCUAUCAGGUGAAGGAAAUUAUCACGGAUGGGAAAGGAAAAGCCUCAACAAUAUGUAGUGUGAAUAGGGAAAUAGCAUAGGUGUUCACAUAGCAACAGUGGUUCGAUAUCUAGCAGGAUGUUCCUAAGCAUCAUUCUGUCAAAGUGUAUUAUUAGGACAUAUGCUCUUAGGUUGAGAUGGAAAAAAAUGAAAUUAAGAUAUGAGAAUGUAGUAGUUCAAAUAAUAUAGUUGCUGAAAAGAAAAAUUCCAACCCACUACGAAUGGUUCACAAGACCAUUUCAGAGGAUGAAGAAGAUAAAUUCAGGAUUAAUGCACUAACUAGAAAACAAAAAUAGAUCUUUUUAGGUUCAACAAAUGAAAGAGAAAUAACUUCUGUGAAAAAAAAAGAAGCACACAAGACAAAAAAAAACAUUAGUUAGCCUUUGGAAUUGUAGUCACAAGACAAAGGUACAAAAUUGUGAAAUUUUGUUUUAAAAAUUAUCCAAUGAUACAAUUUUAAACAUAAAAAAAUUGUAACAACUUGAUUUGAGUUCAUUCAAAAAAGGGGUCUUAAACUGAUAUAAUUUAAAUUUUAAAAAAUUAUAAUGCAUUAUUAAACUAGUACGACUCUAGUUUAUAUCAUAAAAUAAUACCACACUAAGAAGAUUUCAAUUAAAAUUUAAAAAAAUUACAGCAUACUAAAUGAUGUAACUAUAUACCAGAAAUGAGAACUAGUGAAAUAAAGAUAAUUUUGGGAGAUUACAGUAAUGAUAACUAAUCAUUAAACUAACUUAUUACGUGUCAAUGUGUGAAGUGCUGUGAGUCUGAGUAAAAAAAUCUUUCUAUUAUUAACUUUAAGCAUUACUAAAGGGUCAAGAAUAAGAAAUACAAAAGAUAUAAAUUAUCACAUCGGAGACUAUUUCAAUUUAAUCGGUUUAAACUGUAUAACUUAAACUUAAUGUAUUUAACUAUAUUACAUACAUAAAUAUUACA